rnacentral:lncRNA from 1 species
CAGCUCCUGCAGGUAGGGUCAGCUUUCCAAGACCAUCUCUUGGAAAGUCCUUUGAAGGACUGAAGCUCAUCACCUGUGCUGAGAACCUGGAAGGUGAAACUAAAGUUGGCAAGGUUGGGACUAAAUUCAAGAUGCCUGCCUUUACAUUUUAAGCUUUCUCUGUUAUUCCAUAACAUAAGAAACAGAAAUACAAAAGUGAACAUCAGUUGGGAAGAUCUGAAUAGUUAAAGCAGAAUUUCUCAAGUUGGCUGUGAAUUGAUGCUAACAUUGUCACCAGGUGUUAUAGCCUUGCAAGCUCAUCAUCUGGGACAAAGCAUCUUGAUGAUGGGAGUGUGUUGUUAUGGAGACAAUGAAAUGAUAAAUAGUUAAUAAUGCUCAAGGGAAUAAAAAGCCUCCCUUGAUGCUGGUUUUGCCUUCCAUUUUAAGGCUUUUGUUUCCUUAUCACUGUGUGGCUAUUUCACUGACUGUUUCAAUCAAGUUGCAUCAUAAAUCAACUUUCUGAAGAGAGAGGGACAUGGGGUACUUGAAAAACCUGCCAUGAAGAAGGUAUGGAAACUAAUAAAUGAGUGAUGAGAAUUCUUGGUAAGUUUUUCUAUGCCAAGUGUUUAAUCUUCCUUUGAAAAUAACA